rnacentral:lncRNA from 1 species
CUCCCCGUUUCUUAUAAAACUAUAUCAAGAAAAAACUACAAAACAUCUUAAAUGAUACAUUAAUACAAAGGUUUGACAAUUUUUGUACAUUGAAGGUGUAGAUUAUUUCGAAGGUACAAUAAGGUAGAACUAUUUCAACACUACGAUUCCAAAAAGUUACAUUUCUCCAUAAAAAAUCAAAAGAUCCAAACUUGAAUAAUUUCUUCGCUAGAUUCCCAAAGCUAUAUUUGUUUAAGCAAAACCUAAAUGUAAAUUUUUUUCAAUACUACAACGUAAGCUUGCAAUAUUUCUGGUACAAAGUGAAAUCUUCUAAAAACAUUUCAAAUACGACGCAUACAUUGUUUACUCCCUGAUUCUUAAACUGUAUCAAGAAAACAAUACAAAAAAUCUUAAAUGAUCGAUCAACACAAAGAUUUGACAAUUUUUUCACAUUGAAGGUGUAGAAUAUUUCGAAGGUACAAAAAGGUACAAUGAUUUCAACACUACGAUUCCA